CAGCAGCCGCGGUAAUACGAAGGGGGCUAGCGUUGUUCGGAAUUACUGGGCGUAAAGGGCGCGUAGGCGGCCAUUCAAGUUAGAUGUGAAAGCCCUGGGCUCAACCUAGGAAUUGCAUUUGAUACUGUUUGGCUUGAGUUCGGGAGAAGUGAGUGGAAUUCCCAGUGUAGAGGUGAAAUUCGUAGAUAUUGGGAAGAACACCAGUGGCGAAGGCGGCUCACUGGACCGACACUGACGCUGAGGCGCGAAAGCGUGGGGAGCAAACAGGAUUAGAUACCCGCGUAGUCCCUGUCUCUUAUAC
rnacentral:rRNA from 1 species